GACGAACGCUGGCGGCGUGCUUAACACAUGCAAGUCGAACGGAAAGGCCCUGCUUUUGUGGGGUGCUCGAGUGGCGAACGGGUGAGUAACACGUGAGUAACCUGCCCUUGACUUUGGGAUAACUUCAGGAAACUGGGGCUAAUACCGGAUAGGAGCUCCUGCUGCAUGGUGGGGGUUGGAAAGUUUCGGCGGUUGGGGAUGGACUCGCGGCUUAUCAGCUUGUUGGUGGGGUAGUGGCUUACCAAGGCUUUGACGGGUAGCCGGCCUGAGAGGGUGACCGGCCACAUUGGGACUGAGAUACGGCCCAGACUCCUACGGGAGGCAGCAGUGGGGAAUAUUGCACAAGGGGCGGAAGCCGGAUGCAGCAACGCCGCGUGCGGGAUGACGGCCUUCGGGUUGUAAACCGCUUUCGCCUGUGACGAAGCGUGAGUGACGGUAAUGGGUAAAGAAGCACCGGCUAACUACGU
rnacentral:rRNA from 1 species